AGGAAAAGAAACCAACAGGGAUUGCCUUAGUAGCGGCGAGUGAAGCGGCAAAAGCUCAAAUUUGAAAUCUGGCACUUUCAGUGUCCGAGUUGUAAUUUGAAGAAGGUAUCUUUGGGUCUGGCUCUUGUCUAUGUUUCUUGGAACAGAACGUCACAGAGGGUGAGAAUCCCGUGCGAUGAGAUGUCCCAGACCUAUGUAAAGUUCCUUCGAAGAGUCGAGUUGUUUGGGAAUGCAGCUCUAAGUGGGUGGUAAAUUCCAUCUAAAGCUAAAUAUUGGCGAGAGACCGAUAGCGAACAAGUACAGUGAUGGAAAGAUGAAAAGAACUUUGAAAAGAGAGUGAAAAAGUACGUGAAAUUGUUGAAAGGGAAGGGCUUGAGAUCAGACUUGGUAUUUUGUAUGUUACUCUCUCGGGGGUGGCCUCUACAGUUUACCGGGCCAGCAUCAGUUUGAGCGGUAGGAUAAGUGCAAAGAAAUGUGGCACUGCUUCGGUAGUGUGUUAUAGUCUUUGUCGAUACUGCCAG
rnacentral:rRNA from 1 species